GGUCAGCGGCUCACGCUGAGACACAGAGCGCUUCGGUCGCAUCGAAGAGGCCGUGGGUUCGAGUCCCAUCACCUCCA
rnacentral:tRNA from 1 species